rnacentral:lncRNA from 1 species
GUAUCUUGACUCUCAACGCUUUGUCGUCUAACCUUCAAUUCUUCAGCAGUUGAAACAAAUGAUCUUACUCUUCUGAAUCACCAAGAUAUCUUUCCCUGCUACUUCACCUUCACUGAACAACCCGAGGUCAUCUGCCUUUGGCCUAAAGACCAGGAACCUGGGCUUCACCAAAUAAGUUAGAGACAUUGUUAUCCUACAAGAAACAUUGUAUAGAGGAGAUGGACCCACUGGUUGCCUUCUAGGUUACAGAGAGCUGGAAGUCCCAUCCACCAAACUUUUACAGGAGUACAACAGGGAAGAGACUCAGGGGAACUGGUCAAGAACCUGACACCCUCAGCACACAGGGGGACAAAUACCUACCUGGAGGUGACAGCUUUCCCUCCACCAUAUGCCCCCCUAGACACAACCAACAAAAACUGGUCACAACUCCUGCAGCUCUGUUGGACGCCAGGGCCGUGGAGUGAGACAGGGAUGCAGCUUGAGCCCCACCCUCUUCAGCAUACUGUAUAUAUCAAUAAAUUGAACGGAGGUGGAUUAUCCAUUCGCUGAUGCAGUCUCGCCAGACAUCCGGCUUUUUGACGGCUGUAACACCAAUUCCUCUUCAUACGAAUGUUGGAGAUUUGGGCCUGGUCCGGGAGGAGAUCAUAUCCUUUGCGUCUGACUCAUUAAAGGAAUAAUCCUCAUUCAGUUGAAGGUGACUGUAGCAGCAGAGACAGAGGCCCUGACCGGUCUUGGCCCACUCCAGAACACCGACUCGUGCCAGUUUAUCAUCACCCGGACACUAAUCGGUACUGACACCUACCACAGUAUCCCCUUCGUAAACAAAGAGAAGACAGAGUUCUGAAUAGAGAAGGACCUACCGUAGCUCGAACCAGAGGGAGAGGCAUAGUGCUCGGUUCAAUAAAGGUUUGCUUGAAUCCCAGCCUUUGCGAUACACUCUAAAAAUAGAAAGAGAGACAGAGACAAACAGAGAGAC